rnacentral:rRNA from 1 species
UACGUAGGUGGCAAGCGUUGUCCGGAUUUACUGGGCGUAAAGAGCGCGCAGGCGGUUCGUUAUGUCCGAUGUGAAAGCCCCGAGCUCAACUUGGGAAUGGCAUUGGAAACUGGCGGGCUGGAGUGUGGCAGAGGGGAGUGGAAUUCCACGUGUAGCAGUGAAAUGCGUAGAGAUGUGGAGGAACACCGAUGGCGAAGGCAGCCCCCUGGGCCAACACUGACGCUCAGGCACGAAAGCGUGGGGAGCAAACAGG